CAUAGGUUGAGGAGGCAGUGACCGUAGCGGUGGAGGAGGAGGAUAAGUUAGCCAACACUGUUUAUAUAUAUACAUAUAUAUAUUAAUUGGGGUAGCCCACAAAAUAUUGGGACAUAUAAAAAAGACAACUCUGUUCCGCAGAGUAGCUGUUGACAUUAGAGUUGCGCAGGAACUUUGUUGACUCUAGAGAACCUCGGGCAAAUCACACAUCCCCAUGGCGGCGACUUUGCAUGCGGAUGUUAUCCAUAUCAACUUUCGAUGCCAGUUUCUGCGUCUACCAUGGUGAUCACUGGUAACGUGGAAUCAGGGUUUCAUUCCGUACAGGACCCUGAGAAAUGGCUACCACAUGCAAGGAAGGCAGCAGGUGCGCAAAUGACCCACUCACGACGUGGGAAGGUAGUGACGACAAAUAACAAUACAGGACACUUUAGAGGCCUUGUAAUUGUAAUGAGUCCACUUGAAAUCUUUUAACUCUGAUCAAUUGGAGGGAAGUCUGGUGCAGAGCCACUGACCCGUGUG
rnacentral:rRNA from 1 species